GCAUAUCAAUAAGCGGAGGAAAAGAAACCAACAGGGAUUACCUCAGUAACGGCGAGUGAAGCGGUAACAGCUCAAAUUUGAAAGCUAGCUCUUUUAGGGUUCGCAUUGUAAUUUGUAGAAGAUGCUUCGGGUGUGGCCCCGGUCUAAGUUCCUUGGAACAGGACGUCAUAGAGGGUGAGAAUCCCGUAUGUGACUGGGUGCUUUCGCUCAUGUGAAGCUCUUUCGACGAGUCGAGUUGUUUGGGAAUGCAGCUCAAAAUGGGUGGUAAAUUUCAUCUAAAGCUAAAUAUUGGCCAGAGACCGAUAGCGCACAAGUAGAGUGAUCGAAAGAUGAAAAGCACUUUGGAAAGAGAGUUAAACAGUACGUGAAAUUGUUGAAAGGGAAGCGCUUGCAACCAGACUUGCGCGCUGAUGAUCAUCCGGGCUUCUGCCCGGUGCACUCGUCUGCGCUCAGGCCAGCAUCGGUUUCGGUGGUGGGAUAAAGGCCUUGGGAAUGUAGCUCCUCUCGGGGAGUGUUAUAGCCCUCGGUGCAAUGCCGCCUACCGGGACCGAGGACCGCGCUUCGGCUAGGAUGCUGGCGUAAUGGUUGUAAGCGACCCGUCUUGAAACACGGACCAAGGAGUCUAACAUCUAUGCGAGUGUUUGGGUGUUAAACCCAUACGCGUAAUGAAAGUGAACGGAGGUGAGAACCCUUAAGGGUGCAUCAUCGACCGAUCCUGAUGUCUUCGGAUGGAUUUGAGUAAGAGCAUAGCUGUUGGGACCCGAAAGAUGGUGAACUAUGCGUGAAUAGGGUGAAGCCAGAGGAAACUCUGGUGGAGGCUCGCAGCGGUUCUGACGUGCAAAUCGAUCGUCAAAUUUGCGUAUAGGGGGCGAAAGACUAAUCGAACCAUCUAGUAGCUGGAUCUGCGAG
rnacentral:rRNA from 1 species